GACGAACGCUGGCGGAAUGCUUUACACAUGCAAGUCGAACGGCAGCACGGACUUCGGUCUGGUGGCGAGUGGCGAACGGGUGAGUAAUGUAUCGGAACGUGCCCAGUCGUGGGGGAUAACGUAGUGAAAAUUACGCUAAUACCGCAUACGAUCUAUGGAUGAAAGCGGGGGAUCGCAAGACCUCGCGCGAUUGGAGCGGCCGAUAUCAGAUUAGGUAGUUGGUGGGGUAAAGGCCCACCAAGCCAACGAUCUGUAGCUGGUCUGAGAGGACGACCAGCCACACUGGAACUGAGACACGGUCCAGACUCCUACGGGAGGCAGCAGUGGGGAAUUUUGGACAAUGGGCGAAAGCCUGAUUCAGCCAUUCCGCGUGCAGGAUGAAGGCCCUCGGGUUGUAAACUGCUUUUGUACAGAACGAAAAGGUUUCUACUAAUACUAGGAGCUCAUGACGGUACUGUAAGAAUAAGCACCGGCUAACUACGUGCCAGCCGCCGCGGUAA
rnacentral:rRNA from 1 species